CGCGUAGGCGGCUUGGUCAGUCGGAUGUGAAAGCCCCGGGCUUAACCUGGGAAUUGCAUUCGAUACUGCUAAGCUAGAGUGUAGUAGAGGGAAGCGGAAUUCCAGGUGUAGCGGUGAAAUGCGUAGAUAUCUGGAGGAACAUCAGUGGCGAAGGCGGCUUCCUGGACUAACACUGACGCUGAGGUGCGAAAGCGUGGGGAGCAAACA
rnacentral:rRNA from 1 species